GCGGUGUAGGUAGAAGCAGCGGUGAAGGAGGAGGAUGAGGUAGCCAACAUUGUUUAUAUAUAAAUAUACAUAUAUUUUUUUAAAUUGGGGUAGCCCACAAAAUAUUGGGACAUAUAAAAAAAAGACAACUCUGCUCUGCAGAGUAGCUAUUGACAUUAUAGUUGCGCAGGUACUUUGUUGACUCGGGCCAAUCGCACAUCCCCGUGACGCGACUUUGCAUUCGGAUGUCAUUCAUAUCAACUUUCAAUGCCAGUUUCUGCGCCUACCAUGUGACCACGGGUAACGGGGAAUCAGGGUUCCAUUCCGUACAGGGACCCUGAGAAAUUGCUACCACAUACAAGGAAGGCAGCAGGCG